GAAAAUCUAAUUUAUUUAAAAAAUAUGAAGUUGUCGUCUUCAAAAAGCUAUCCUAGCGAUUUUCU
rnacentral:tRNA from 1 species